rnacentral:sRNA from 1 species
AUCCCUGCGAGCAGCCACUAGACGCUCCACCACCAUCUUUUGCAUGUGCAACAUUUGCAGCCGGACAGAAAACCUCUCCCAGGGCUAUGGAGACUGCGGGAAAAAUCUGGCGGCUCGCGAUGGAUUGCUAAGGGGAAAUAGUCGUAAUCUUAAACCACCGAAACCUCUUUCCUUUUUUUUUCUUUCUUUCUUUCUUUUUUUUUUUGGUUGAUUUUAAUUUUAGCGCCAUCGUCUUCAAUGCUUCUCUGAACAGCCUUUGGGAAGAGUGCGAGAGAAAGAGAGAGAGCGCGCGCCAGGGAGAGGAGAAAAGAAGAUGAGGAUUAUUUGCAGACAGAUUGUCUUGUUAUUUUCCGGAUUUUGGGGACUCGCCAUGGGAGCCUUUCCGAGCAGCGUGCAAAUAGGUGGUCUCUUCAUCCGAAACACAGAUCAGGAAUACACUGCUUUUCGAUUAGCAAUUUUUCUUCAUAACACCAGCCCCAAUGCGUCGGAAGCUCCUUUUAAUUUGGUACCUCAUGUGGACAACAUUGAGACAGCCAACAGUUUUGCUGUAACAAAUGCCUUCUGUUCCCAGUAUUCUAGAGGAGUAUUUGCCAUUUUUGGACUCUAUGAUAAGAGGUCAGUACAUACCUUGACCUCAUUCUGCAGCGCCUUACAUAUCUCCCUCAUCACACCAAGUUUCCCUACUGAGGGGGAGAGCCAGUUUGUGCUGCAACUAAGACCUUCGUUACGAGGAGCACUCUUGAGUCUGCUGGAUCACUACGAAUGGAACUGUUUUGUCUUCCUGUAUGACACAGACAGGGGAUACUCGAUACUCCAAGCUAUUAUGGAAAAAGCAGGACAAAAUGGUUGGCAUGUCAGCGCUAUAUGUGUGGAAAAUUUUAAUGAUGUCAGCUAUAGGCAACUUCUAGAAGAACUUGAUAGAAGACAAGAGAAGAAGUUUGUAAUAGACUGUGAGAUAGAGAGACUUCAAAACAUAUUAGAACAGGUAAGUCCUAGGUUUUAUAUUUUUAACCUAGACCCCAUACAGAAAAAUUUAACCUUUGAUUGACUUGUCCCCAUCAACAUCUUCUCCCAGCUUUUAAUUUGGAGUGUGAGGUUUGAGAGUUUUCAUUCCAUGACUAUCUUCAGGACCAAAUUACAAUCUUUUAUCACCAAGGACCUUUUUGGUUCUUAGGUCUCAAUGUAUUUAGAAAGCUAUUUCUCACAUAUUCUUAAGACUUGAAUGAGUGAAAGACCCUGUGUGAAUCUUGAAGAGCUCUUGGCCUCCAGUUUUCGAAAAUAUUAAUGUUGAAGAUUAAUCCCAUCUAAAAAUGGUACAAAAAUUAUAAAUUUGUGAGUGCCCCUUUUUUAGAGGCACACUAACUUAAGUGCUACAUGAGAAACAGCAACAUAAAUUACUAAAGCAAUAAAAUAAAA